UACAGAGGGUGCGAGCGUUGUCCGGAAUUACUGGGCGUAAAGGGCGCGUAGGUGGCUCGAUAAGUAGGAGGUGAAAUCUCACGGCUCAACCGGGAGGCUGCCUUCUAGACUGUCGAGCUCGAGCAUGGUAGAGGCAGAUGGAAUUCCCGGUGUAGCGGUGGAAUGCGUAGAGAUCGGGAAGAACACCAGUGGCGAAGGCGGUCUGCUGGGCCAUAGCUGACACUGAGGCGCGACAGCGUGGGGAGCAAACAGG
rnacentral:rRNA from 1 species